CCUACGGGAGGCAGCAGUGGGGAAUAUUGCGCAAUGGGCGAAAGCCUGACGCAGCGACGCCGCGUGAGGGAUGAAGGUCUUCGGAUCGUAAACCUCUGUCAGCAGGGAAGAACGGUCACUGUGCUAAUCAGCAGUGAAUUGACGGUACCUGCAAAGGAAGCACCGGCUAACUCCGUGCCAGCAGCCGCGGUAAUACGGAGGGUGCGAGCGUUAAUCGGAAUUACUGGGCGUAAAGCGCUCGUAGGCGGGAUGUCAAGUCAAGUGUGAAAUCCCCGCGCUCAACGUGGGAACUGCCUUUGAAACUGGCAAACUGGAGUGUGUGAGAGGAUAGUGGAAUUCCAGGUGUAGGAGUGAAAUCCGUAGAUAUCUGGAGGAACAUCAGUGGCGAAGGCGACUAGCUGGAACAUAACUGACGCUGAGGAGCGAAAGCGUGGGUAGCAAACAGGAUUAGAUACCCUUGUAGUC
rnacentral:rRNA from 1 species